rnacentral:rRNA from 1 species
UGAUGCAGCCAUGCCGCGUGUGUGAAGAAGGCCUUCGGGUUGUAAAGCACUUUCAGUCGUGAGGAAGGUGGUGUAGUUAAUAGCUGCAUUAUUUGACGUUAGCGACAGAAGAAGCACCGGCUAACUCCGUGCCAGCAGCCGCGGUAAUACGGAGGGUGCGAGCGUUAAUCGGAAUUACUGGGCGUAAAGCGCAUGCAGGUGGUUUGUUAAGUCAGAUGUGAAAGCCCGGGGCUCAACCUCGGAAUAGCAUUUGAAACUGGCAGACUAGAGUACUGUAGAGGGGGGUAGAAUUUCAGGUGUAGCGGUGAAAUGCGUAGAGAUCUGAAGGAAUACCGGUGGCGAAGGCGGCCCCCUGGACAGAUACUGACACUCAGAUGCGAAAGCGUGGGGAGCAAACAGGAUUAGAUACCCUGGUAGUCCACGCCGUAAACGAUGUCUACUUGGAGGUUGUGGCCUUGAGCCGUGGCUUUCGGAGCUAACGCGUUAAGUAGACCGCCUGGGGAGUACGGUCGCAAGAUUAAAACUCAAAGAAAAUUGACGG